CUUUGUGGUUCUGCACUAUAAUAACAAUGUGGAUUUACAUAGUGUGUGAAUAAAUAGGCGUCUCUAGGCAAGACCAUGGUUUAUUUUACAUAUAUAUAACAUGUACACUAGCAGAAUACUUGGACAACAUUCUAGCAAGGCAUGGAUUCAGCAAAGACGGGAAUGGCUCUGUGUGUCACAGUCAAGGUUCUGCAUUACCAAGGCAUGCAUGGCUCCUGAACCGUAGAGUAGCGCAGAAUGGCUGCAUAUAUCAGGGAUAUAGAGCCGGAGCAAGACAUGAUGCUGCUGCUCUUUCCCCCCCAUGCCCAACUUACCCCCCUCCUCCCCACCAUUCUGCUGCUGUCGUCCUGGCAUCUCUCCCCAUCACAGAUCCGGUGCCACUGCUUGCUUCAUUUGUAACAAUUUGGUUACUCAGAAGGGACGCCCGGGAAGGCCACCCCCUCUCUCACACACGCCGCUCUUGCUACUGUGGCACUGUGUGAACAUGCGUACCGGCCCACAGUUGUACACAUCAACACAGUGCAAUUCGGAUUCAUGAAGUCGAAAGAGACGUUGCACAGCAGGUGGGGAGAAUGGGCAAACAGAGAGUGCAUGGCAGAGAAAAAAAGAGAGUGGGAAUCAGCGGAGGAAGAACACGGGGCAUGGAUGCAGUCAAAGGCGGACGAUAAAAGAACGAUUGUUCGCCUGGACUUCAUUCGGGUGAAGGGUGGGGAAAGGUGUCAGAAGUUUGUGGGCGGGUCGCGGGGCAUUAAAAGUAGUGGAGGCAGCAGAGGAGAAGGAGCAACAUCCCAUUUGGGAAGGGGCUGUGCAGGAAUUCGACAAAGGCAAAAAGUUGCUGGAAUUGAAGGGCAGAACAGGUACCCCACCAGGGCCUGGCAUGGUUAGGGUGCGUGGUUUAGCUUGGGCUAGGUAUAGGGGAUACCCAGUCUAUGGAUUGUUAUGCAGGGCAUCGGAAAGAAUGAAACUAAAUGUUUGACAAAGGAGCUUAUAAAGAUGAAAGGAAUACAAAACGUUAUCGUGUUCGAAAAGAUACUUACCUAAUCGCCAUGUAACAUUCCAGUUUUUGAUUCUAACCGAAUAAUUUAGGCAUAAUGUAGCUAGACAGGUUUAAAGGGGAAGCCAGCUCCAUCAUUAACCUCCUACACUAGUUUUCAAUACACAUUAUUAUUAUUAUUAUUGCACAAAUAGAAAAGGUUGUCUUUUGUAUUUUGAACUUUUACACCACUGUGCUCGAGACUGGGUAGCUGGGCGUAUUUCCGUGGGGUCUCGGCGGUCCAUUGAUCGAUAAGAAGACCCUCGCAUUAACCCAAGCAUUGAUGCUGUACCCUGGAUUCCAUAGGGGAGCCCCUCACACCCAUGUGGCUUCAGGGCUAAAUAUAGUAAUUUUACAAAGCUUGCCAGUGGAUGAACAAGCAUGGCCAAUUGACAACAUUAACUGUGCUUCAUGCACACACUGCAGUGCUUUGUCCUUGCUGAAGUGGAGCGUUUGUCAGGAAAGCUACUCCCGAGACGAGGGAAACUGAGGUAUAAAUGGUAGAAAAUCCACUUAUAUUUCCAUGUUGUGCAUGGAUAGGAUUGAACAACUAUCGGAGUGACUGCCCCAAUACAAUCAUGUAAGUGCUUUUCAGCCUGCAGCCUUCCAUUGCUUCUGCAAGCAACUAGCAAUGUGUCCUAAGUGUAUCGUGUCUGUUGAAUGUAAACCAACUUUAAAGCUCCACCGCCAUUGUGCUGGCUGUUGACUUGAAUGUGUACUGGCUCGCAUACGUAUGCCUUAUUUUGAUAACGUGUUGGCUUUCCGCACACUCGCGUAUCUGCUUUCAUCCAUAUGCCUCUAAGAUGUGCGAUGCAACUCACUUGAAUGUUCCAUAACGUCCUUCCUCUUUAAUGUGGCAUCCCUGAAGAAUGUCAUGGCUCGUCUUUUAAGGUCGUUCGCUGUAGCAUUUGUUCUUUGUUUUUACAUAAAUCAUGAUUCCCUCUU